rnacentral:rRNA from 1 species
AUUGAACGCUGGCGGCAUGCCUUACACAUGCAAGUCGAACGGCAGCGCGGGAGCAAUCCUGGCGGCGAGUGGCGAACGGGUGAGUAACAUAUCGGAACGUGCCCUGGAGUGGGGGAGUAACUAGUCGAAAGAUUAGCUAAUACCGCAUACGAUCUACGGAUGAAAGUAGGGGGAGUCGCAAGACCUCAUGCUCGUGGAGCGGCCGAUAUCUGAUUAGCUAGUUGGUAGGGUAAAAGGACCUACCAAGGCGACGAUCAGUAGCUGGUCUGAGAGGAC